UAGAGGUAUGGACUGCGUACAUCUUACCCCCCCGGACCCCACUAGGUGGGAAUACACUGGGUUUGUUGUUGAUACUGGGGAUGUUGUUGUUGUAGUUAUUCUUUUGCUUAAUUAUUCAACGUGCAAUGGAAACAAUACAUUAACCAACUGAUGCUUCAUUUAUAAGAAAAACUAACCUGGAAUUAGCCAAAAGGUAGGGGUGGAUAUUUGAUUUCUGUUCAUUUUUAAGUAUCAUUUACAACAUUCAUCAUUUGUCUGGAUGUCAUUUGGCUACCAUUGCAAAAUGCCGUUAUAGAGAACAUAUAAUAUAACAUACAAACUUGUUUCAUAGAAAACUUGGUCGUUAUAGUGAAAUGUUGUUACAGAGGAUGACUUUGGUCUUACUGUGUCUAAUUUCUUGACAAUGUAACAGAACCACUGAGCCCUAACAUCGACUUGUCAAAUAAGACUUCUUCCCCUGCUGAAGCUGCUGCUACUACUAAAAAGGCUUUCGUUCAAUCUCAUUUUGAAUGCACUAUUAGACAAUAUUGCUUUUUAAGGGUACCUUGAAUGUGCCUAAACAAUUUGCAAUUGCAAAUGGUCUCACCAACAAGAAGUGUGGGUUGAUUGUAAGAGAUGGAAGACAAAGGUCGUGGAAUUUAAAGCUAAGUUCCAGUAGUACUCAAUCCUAUAUUGGUGAUGAAUUUCAUAAAUUCAUUGCUGAAAAUUGUUUAAAGGAGGGAGAUAUAUUAUGUUUGAGGUAUCACUAAUGGAGAGACACCAAUAUGGAAAUUUAAAGUUGUUACUGUUGGAGAGACACCGGUUAGGAAGUUUCAAGGCAAGUUUCUCAUCUUAUAACCAGCCUCCUGUUUUUUGGUGAUCUUUUUUAUCGUCGCUAUAUUAGAAUCUUUCCUUAUAUCAAGGAGAUUGAACAGUUUACAUAUAAUUAAUAACAUCCGGUUUUAUCCUAUUUGCACAUUGCUUAUAAUUUUCACCGUAAGGAAUUCUAUUAAACCCCCUUGCUUUAACCUUUAUCUACCCCUGCUAGGAAUGAUUUAUAUUAAGCAUAGUCACAAAUGAAGAAAAUAAAUUUACGCGUUCUGUUCCUCUAGAGAUGGUGUUACUGAAAUGUUAUGUAAAAAUGUACUUUUUAGUUGCUUCUUGUUAUAACUAGAGUACUUCAUCUUAACUGGCUUUAAAUCAAAGUCUAAUGAAAGUUCAGUUUGUUGUGUAUGUAUUCAUUCAAGUUUAUAGAUUGAAAUAUGUGAACGCCAGUUUCGGUCCUCAACUUUCAUUUUUCUGUUAUUUAUGGAAAUUGUUCUUUUGAUUAAUUAUGCGAUCUGUAAUGGAAAUAAUACAUUAACCAAAUGAUACUUACUUUAUAAGAGAAACUAAUAUGGAAUUAGUUAAAUUCUGUUCAUCCUUAAUAGACAGGUUUGUAGUCUCCGCAGAGUGGAGUGAUACUUUCAAUGCUAUAAAACAAUUAGCCAUGCCUAGAGUUGUAUCAAACCACAGACCUUUGGUUCUGGAAAGAGGUGAUUGAGACACUAAUUCCUCCUAUUUCAAGUAAGAAAUAAUGUGGCUAAUAACAGAAGGUUUCUCUGCAAUGGUUAGAGCUUGGUGGCAGAAGUACAAUAUUGGUGGUAGUCCAGAUUUUGUCCUAUCUCAAAAGCUUAGAAAUCUAAAGAAAGACAUUACUAGCUGGAACAGAGAGACCUUUGGAAGACUAGAAACUCAGAUGGAAAGGAUGUUGGAGGAAUUAACUAUCCUUGAGCAAGCUACUGAAGGCAGGCAUAUGUCACAGGGGAAAAAGGAGAGCACAAUCCAUCUAAAGCUAAAACCGAAGGAAUCAGCAGAGAGUGAAAAGGUAUCUUGGUGGCAGAAAUGAAGAUGUUUGUGGCUUAAGUUAGGAGAUAGGAACACCAAACUUUUACAAAGAGUAGUCAAUUCUCACAGGAGAAGCAAUCAAAUUGAUAAGCUGUUGAUUAAUGGGAAUUUGUGAAGACGAAGGAGAAAUCAAAAGUUAGAUCUUGAGAUUUUACCAAGCUUUGUACAGGGAGGAUGAACAGUGAGGCCCAAAGCAAGCUUUGAGAAUCUCAACAUCAUCACUCGAGAAGAGAAAAUUUGGAUAGAAAAGAACUUUGAAGAAGAAGAGGUGAGAGCAUUUAGCAGCCAUUAAUUCUUGUGCUCCUGACAAGAGUUCAGGGCCUGAUGGAUACACAAUGGCCUUCUAUCUAAGCACAUGGGAUGUCACCAAGUAUGAUAGUAUGGGAGCUCUCAACCAUUUUCAUUGGCACUGCUGCAUGGUCAAAUCCGAUAAUACGCCCUCAUUUAUAGCUCUUAUACCAAAAAGAAAGGGAGCAUUGCACGUUGGAGACUUCAGGCCUAUAACUCUCAUAGGAAGCCUCUAUAAGAUGCUAGCCCAAAUUUUAGCUGAGACUCAAAACAGUGAUUUGGAAACUGGUUUAUGGCUAGCAAAAUGCCUAUCUUAAGAACAGGUAGAUCACUAAUGCUUCUUUGAUUGCAAAUGAAAUGCUAGGUGGAAGACAGAAAUUAGGAACUCCUUGAAUUUUAUGCAAGCUAGAUGUGGAGAAAGCUUUUACAAAGUAAGCUGGCCCUACUUGCUAGAUAUGCUAAAGCAAAUGAGUUUUGGAGGUUGAUGGAUCAAAUACAGUCUCUAAGCUGUAAAAUACUCCAUCCUGGGGAACAAGAGGCCAGUUCGCCUUUACUCCCCUCAAAAAGGAAUAAGACAAGAGGACCUUCUUUCCCCUUUCUUAUUUGUUUUAGUCAUGGAAGGUUUGAACAAGAUGUUCGAUAGAGCGAAAGCAAAUCACUGGAUUGAGGACUUCAAGGUAGAAAGUUGCCCAAACAAUUCUAUUUCAAUCUCCCACUUAUUAUAAUAUGAUAUUAUCCUAAUCUUUUGUGGGGCAGAGACACUCCAAGUUCUUUAUCUCAAUCUAACCCUCAUGCAAUUUGAAGUUGUUUCUGGAAUGCAUAUUAACAUGAUGAGGAGCAAGAUCUACCCUGUCAAUGAAAUCUCAAACUUGAAUACUCUGAUAGGGAUUCUGGGGUGCGACACAUUCUCCUUCCCCUCUACUUAUUUGGGCCUCCUUUUGGGUUCAAAAUACAAAGCACCUGAGAUAUGGAUGGAGUGGUGGAGAAGGUGGAAAAGAUAUUGACAAACUGGAAAAUGCAAUAUCUAUGUAUGGGAAAACUGACUCUAAUCAAUACUAUAUUGGACGAUAUUCCUACCUACCUCAUGUCCCUUGUUCCAAUGCCAUAUGAGGUGAAAGAGCAAUUGGAUGGUCUAAGAAGGGCUUUCCUAUGGGAAGAAAUAGUGAAGGACAUAAAUUUCAUCUUGUGAAUUAGGAUAAGGUCAUAUUGCCAAAGGAACAGAGAGGUCUGGGUGUUAGAGAUCCAGCAAACAGAAGAAAAGCCUUCUUCUAAAAUGGUGGUGGAGGCAUGGCCAAGGAACCACUCACCUAUGGAAGGAAGUGAUGAAUGUAGAAUAUGGUAAACUGGAUGAUUGAUGCACCAAACGGAAUUACACUUCCUCAUGAUGUUGGCCCUUGGAAGCAUAUCGAUGAUUUUCAGGAUGACUUCUUCAAAGAAAUGUCCUUUAAGGUUGGAAAUGGCUCUAAGGUUUAGUUUGGGAAAGAUAAGUGGGUAAUCAAUCAUCCCCUCAAAGACUCUCAUCACAGGAUUUUCCUUUUAGCUGAAGAACUAAACUCCUUUGCAGCUGAUAAUAGCAAUGGCAACACAUGUGAUAUUCAUCUAAGAAGAAACUUACAAGAUUGGGAAUUGGAGGAACUUACUGAUCUAUAAAGGUUGCUGACAGACUACUCAAUCCCAUCUUUCAGACAACUUAAGGCUUUUCAUAGUGAAAGCAGGCUAUAAUCACCUGAAUGCAGCAGAGGAGUGACAAGACCUUGGCCCUGGAAGUUGGUUUGGAAUACAAAAUUACCCCCAAAGUUUAAUGUUUUACUUGGACAACCCUUCAUAAUGAAAACCUAAGGAAGAGAGACAUUCUAGUGGUGCAGAGGUGUUUUGUGCGCCAAAACAACUUAGAACCUAUAAACUGUUUGCUAUUGCACUGCCCUGUGGCCGCUGGUCUUUGGACUAUGUUUUUGGCUAUUUCUGGAAUUAGUUUAUGACCUUCCUCAACCUAAAGCAAGCAGUUGAAAGCUGGAGUUUAUCGAAAGUGAAUAAGACCGUUUAUGGAAUGAAAGGAACUAAAGAUGUUUUAAUGGGACUGCAACUCCUAACUGCUCUCUUAGGUCAAAUGUUUGAUGACCCUUUAUAGCUGGAGCAAUCCUUCCCCCGUAAAUGAUAUCAUCCCCCCUUUGAUUUUAUCAGUUAUACUUGCUUCUUUUUGCAGUAUUUGGAGUUAUAACCAUUUGUUUUAUAAUUUUUCAUGCCUUUUCAAUACAACAACUUCAUUAAAAAAACAAAUUAUGUUAAUCCUUUUAAGUAUCAUUUGUUAUUCGGUUAACCUCUCUGAAACAACAUUGUUUGUCUGGAUACUUUUUUCGUAAUAUUAUUAUAGAGAACAUAUAAUAUAACAUAACAUAAAAAUAUGGUUUCAUAGAAAACUUGGUAGUUUAGGCAAAAUGUUGUCACAUAGGAUGACUGUGGUCUGAUUGUAUUUACUUUCUUGAUAAUGUAACAGAAAAACUGAGCCCCGACAUCGACUUGCCAAAUAAGAUUUCUUCCCAUGAAGAAGCUGCUACUAACAAGCCUUUUGUUCGAUCUCAUUUUGAAUGCACUGUUACACAAAAAAUGUUUUCAAGAGGUCGCUUGUUAAGUUUCAAGACUCAUUGCACUAAAGGAAGCAUGUGUGCCAUGUUCUUAUAGUUUAAUAAGUUUUCUAUACUCCAAUAGUGUAAAUCUUUUGUUUUACCCAAUAUUACUUGUUAUGUAACUUUUUUUUGUAUAACCAUGAUGUUCGGACCAGCUUGCACAACUUAUUAUGCAAUUGUAAGUAAAUUUCUACGGUGAGCAUUAAUUGGUAGCCCAAAGAAUGGUAAACCUGCAAUCUCAUAAUGUAAAAAAAUCUUUACAUCGCCAAUCUUAGGCUAAAGCAAUAUCUUAUGCAUCUUUUGUGCAAGUAAUAUUGAAUAAUUGUUAAUUUGAGUCGAUUGGGGUUCUAAUGCUUUUGAUUGGACGUCAGGGGCAGAGGUAUAAGCCCGGGUAAGGGUUCGGCCUAACCCAAUAUUUUUGCUUUAACAAUAUAUUUGUGUUAAGAAAUUCAUCAAAUACGGACACUUAUUAAACUUAGAACCCACUUAUUAGCACUUGAAAUAGUAGUUCUAAAAUCUGGAAUCCAUAUAGUUUCAAUCCUAGCUCCGCCGAUGUCUUUGCCACUUGUCACUGGCUAACGGAACCAUUGCACAAUUUUAUUUUUAUUUUCUUUUUUUCAUUGGUGUUAUAAAUUCGGUGAAAGUUUGAAGAACGUGAACUUUUUAAUGACGUGUUCUAAUGUUUAUACACAUAUAUACACUAUGUCAGUAUGUACCUCAACAAUUUGCAAUUGCAAAUGGGCUCACCAACAAGAAGUGCGGGUUGAUUGUAAGAGAUGAUAGACUAAGAUUGUGGAAUUUAAAUCUAAGUUUUGGCGGUACUCUAGUUCAAACCUACAUUGGAUAUGGAUUGCGUAAGCUCAUCGCUGAAAAUUGUACAAAGGAGGGUGAUCGUAUUAAGUUUGAGGUUGUCACUAACGGGAAGACACCAAUAUGGAAAUUUCAAGUUUUUAGUGAUGGAGAAAUUCCAAUGAAGACGUUUCAAGGCAAGUUUCUCAUCUUAUAACCGGCUUCUUAUUUUUUUUGAUGAUUUUCUUUUAUUAUCGCUAUAUCAUAAUCGUUUCUUGUGUCAAGAAGAUUCAACAGUAACAUAAUAAAAACAGAUUCAUUUUUAUCUUAUUUGCACAUUAUAAUUUUUUCAGCAAAAGAAAUUCUAUAAACCCCCUUGCUUGAACCUAGAUCUGCCCCUGCUAGCUAGAAAUGAUUUAUUAAUUAAGUUAAUAGGUCUGUAAAAUUUUUUUCAUGAAAUUAAAUAAUAUUUCAUACGAACAUUUUAAAUCAUACAAAGCAUAGUUACAAAUUUAGAAAAUAAGUUUUACACUUUCUGUUUCCUCUAGAGAUGGUGUAAUCAAAGUGUUAUAGAGAAGUGUCAUUUUCUUGAUUAAAUUGCGCAACUUCUAAUGGAAAAUGAUACAUAAGCCAAAUGAUGCUGAUUUUAUAAGAAAAACUGAUGUUGGAUUAGUCAAAAGGUGGGGAUGGAUUUUAAAUUCUGCUAAUAUUUUCAUGUAUCAUUUGUCAUACUUAGUUUCUUGAAAAUGUAACAGAAAGACCGAGCCCCAGCAUCUAGUUGUCAAAUGAGACUUCUUCCCAUGCAGAAGCUGCUACUAACAAGCCUUUUCCUCAAUCUCAUUUUGAAUGCACUAUUAGCGAAUACUGUCUUUCAAGAGGCCUCUUGGCAAGUCUCAAGGCUCAUUAAACUUAUUGAGAAGUGUUUAUUGCUUUAAUGUAUUGUAUUUGUUACUUGUAGCCGAGUUAUUUCAUUAGUUAGUUAGUUAGCACAAGCGAAGUUGGCUCUGCCAGCUGUUAUUUUGUUAGCAGUUCGUUUAUAAUCUACUUGAUUACAACAAAUAGAGGUUGAUCUUUCAUUUUCAUUUCACAAAUAUAACAUUAUUCCUUCUGUGUCUCUCGAACUCCAUCUCUGUAGUCUGUAGAACUCUCCAGAAGUCAACAUAGGAGCUCAUCUCAGAGCUCAGUUUAUCAUGCUGAACUUUGGCAUGGCAUCAGAGCCUUGGUCUAUCUCGAAGACCUACGUUCUUUUGCGUCAGCAAUUGGUCGCAUUUGAUUAUCGAGUUUAGGCAUGCAAUUACAGAUUUAUGUGAGUUUCUGUAAUUGAAGAUCGAUUUCUCAUUUCCACUUCAGUUUCUGAAUUUUUCCUUGGAAAUCAUCAAUUGAUUGAGUAUCUCCGUGACUGUUACUGACAAGGAGGUUCGGUCUGCCAUUGACUCGACUAGCCCUUUGUACAUGCAUCCGUCAGAUAAUCCAGGUGCAAUUCUUGUACCAGCUCCCUUUAAUGGAAUUGGAUAUAGAUAUUGGAGAAGAGACGCAUUAUGAUCUCUUACAGUGAAGAAUAAACUUGGAUUCGUCAAUGGAGAAUGCAAAACGGCAGAUUUGAAGUCUCCAUACUAUCAUUUGUGGGAGACCUGUGAUGAUAAGGUUACACCGUGGAUUUUGAACAUGCAGCUGAGUUGUGGAAUGAAUUGGAGGAUCGUAUGAUCAGAUUAAUGGGACAAAACUGUCAGAUUCAGAAGGUAAUUAAUGACCUAUCACAAGGGACCUUAGACACCAGCUACUAAACCAGAAUGAAGAAACUCUGGGAAAAACUGAACACUUUUGAGUGCUAAAACUCAGUGCAACUGCCAAGGAAAACAUCCAUAAAGCAGAACAUGACAGGAGGUUAAUCCAGUUUUGAUGGUAUUAAACGAAGUGUACACUGCAGUUAGGGAAAAUAUUCUGAUGAUGAAUCCCGUACGCAAAAGCUUUUUCUCUCUUGAUUCAUGAUGAAAAACAAAGACAAAUCAGGCUCAGUUCUCAGAACAAAAAUUUCAUGUACGAUAUAGGUAUUCCUAAUUGGAAGGGGAGAGGAAAGUCGCAAAUGUAAAUGGAACUCCUACAAAUAUGCGGUCAAUUAUUCUGUACAAAGUUCUCUUUGUUCCUUCUAUUAAUCAGAAUCUUAUUUCUGUACAUUGUUCGACCCUAAACCUUUAAGGCACUACCUUCUUUUC